AUUACAUUGACAGAUUAGUGUGUUAAAUUUAGAAUUUAAUUAAGUAAUAUUAUAUUACAUGUAAUA
rnacentral:tRNA from 1 species